rnacentral:rRNA from 1 species
ACGAAUAUCGCAUGAUAUUUUUAUUAAAGAAUUUCGGUUAUCGAUGGGGAUGCGUUCCAUUAGUUUGUUGGCGGGGUAACGGCCCACCAAGACUACGAUGGAUAGGGGUUCUGAGAGGAAGGUCCCCCACAUUGGAACUGAGACACGGUCCAAACUCCUACGGGAGGCAGCAGUGAGGAAUAUUGGUCAAUGGGCGCGAGCCUGAACCAGCCAAGUAGCGUGAAGGAUGAAGGCUCUAUGGGUCGUAAACUUCUUUUAUAUGGGAAUAAAGUUUUCCACGUGUGGAAUUUUGUAUGUACCAUAUGAAUAAGGAUCGGCUAACUCCGUGCCAGCAGCCGCGGUAAUACGGAGGAUCCGAGCGUUAUCCGGAUUUAUUGGGUUUAAAGGGAGCGUAGGUGGAUUGUUAAGUCAGUUGUGAAAGUUUGCGGCUCAACCGUAAAAUUGCAGUUGAAACUGGCAGUCUUGAGUACAGUAGAGGUGGGCGGAAUUCGUGGUGUAGCGGUGAAAUGCUUAGAUAUCACGAAGAACUCCGAUUGCGAAGGCAGCUCACUAGACUGUCACUGACACUGAUGCUCGAAAGUGUGGGUAUCAAACAGGAUUAGAUACCCUGGUAGUCCACACAGUAAACGAUGAAUACUCGCUGUUUGCGAUAUACAGUAAGCGGCCAAGCGAAAGCAUUAAGUAUUCCACCUGGGGAGUACGCCGGCAACGGUGAAACUCAAAGGAAUUGACGGGGGCCCGCACAAGCGGAGGAACAUGUGGUUUAAUUCGAUGAUACGCGAGGAACCUUACCCGGGCUUAAAUUGCAACAGAAUAUAUUGGAAACAGUAUAGCCGUAAGGCUGUUGUGAAGGUGCUGCAUGGUUGUCGUCAGCUCGUGCCGUGAGGUGUCGGCUUAAGUGCCAUAACGAGCGCAACCCUUAUCUUUAGUUACUAACAGGUUAUGCUGAGGACUCUAGAGAGACUGCCGUCGUAAGAUGUGAGGAAGGUGGGGAUGACGUCAAAUCAGCACGGCCCUUACGUCCGGGGCUACACACGUGUUACAAUGGGGGGUACAGAAGGCGGCUACCUGGUGACAGGA